AGCCUCGUGGCGUAAUGCAGCGCGGGACCCUUCUAAGGUCCAAGUCCGGGUUCGACUCCCGGCGAGGCUU
rnacentral:tRNA from 1 species